GCAGGUUGUGGGUUUGCAUGGAAGAUGUUGGUGGUUAAAUAAAAGUUCAUUGUUCAUGAAACAAGGUCUCUUCAAUGACAUAUGAACAACACAAUGUAUCUCUUCCUUCUCAUGAUAAUCUGACUCGCCAAACAUGCCUCCAGCUCGCGUGAUGUGGCCGAGGGACUUGAGGAGAAUUAUACACUGACAGCAGUGGAGAUGAGAGCGCACUUGAAAUUAUCAGGUGCAUCUCAUGAACCUUAAUUUGCCAAGCAUGUAUUGACUGGGCACAGUACAGUGGUGCAAUUUCUGACAAUGAAAGAACAUCAUGGACCCCUACUCCCCAUUCCUUAACCCGAUCGAGGGGCUCUGCUCAGCAUGGAGUUAGAAGGCUUACGAUCGCCAGCCACAUGCUCAGAUGACCCUGCUGGCUGACAUGGAUGCAGCAUGUGAGGACAUUACAGCAGAUGCCUGCAGAGGCAGACACUUCACUGGCUGUGGAUGUUGUUCAGCCCAGAUACCUGAUGAGGGUCCAGCAUGGAGACAGUGUGACCCUGACAUGCUUCCGUCCAGAAGAUAUUUCUUUUGCAGUUUGGUUUUAGCAAGCUGCUGGUCAGAAGCCCCAGCUCAUGGCGAAAGCACUUCUCUACGUACCUGGUGAAUUUUACAAGGAAUAUAAAAACAUAAAACGUUACUCCUUACUGAAUGCAGAGGGGAGUUUUAACCUCACUAUUUCUAACGUGGAGCCGUCAGAUUCUGCAGUGUAUUAUUGCGCUGCUCUGUUCUAUAAUGAAAUCGCAUUUGGAAAUGGAACCUUUGUCAUAAUCACAGAUAAAUGAGAUUCCAACUA